AGAUUUAUAACUUAAUUAGAAAAAGUUUAUGGGUACGAACCAUAAAAUAAAGGUUAAAGUCCUUUUAAAUCUU
rnacentral:tRNA from 1 species